UCUCCGUUGGUGAACCAGCGGAGGGAUCAUUAUCGAGUUUAUAACUCCCAAACCCUAUGUGAACUUACCACUUGUUGCUUCGGCGCGCGCUUCGGCGCCGCCGAGGACACUUAAACUCUUUGUUUUUAUAAGCAUUUCUGAGUGGCCGAAAGGCAAAAUACAAAUGAAUCAAAACCUUCAACAACGGAUCUCUUGGUUCUG
rnacentral:misc_RNA from 1 species